CACGUAGGGGACGAGCGUUGUCCGGAAUCAUUGGGCGUAAAGCGCGCGUAGGCGGCCCGGUAAGUCCGUUGUGAAAGUCAAAGGCUCAACCUUUGAACGCCGAUGGAUACUGCCGGGCUAGAGUCCGGAAGAGGCGAGUGGAAUUCCUGGUGUAGCGGUGGAAUGCGCAGAUAUCAGGAGGAACACCAAUAGCGAAGGCAGCUCGCUGGGACGGUACUGACGCUGAGGCGCGAAAGCGUGGGGAGCGAACAGG
rnacentral:rRNA from 1 species